rnacentral:rRNA from 1 species
UGGGAACUGCGUUNUGAACUGGGUGACUAGAGUGUGUCAGAGGGAGGUAGAAUUNCACGUGUAGCAGUGAAAUGCGUAGAGAUGUGGAGGAAUACCGAUGGCGAAGGCAGCCUCCUGGGAUAACACUGACGUUCAUGCCCGAAAGCGUGGGUAGCAAACAGGAUUAGAUACCCUGGUAGUCCACGCCCUAAACGAUGUCGAUUAGCUGUUGGGCAGCAUGACUGCUUAGUAGCGAAGCUAACGCGUGAAAUCGACCGCCUGGGGAGUACGGUCGCAAGAUUAAAACUCAAAGGAAUUGACGGGGACCCGCACAAGCGGUGGAUGAUGUGGAUUAAUUCGAUGCAACGCGAAGAACCUUACCUGGUCUUGACAUGUACGGAACCCUCCAGAGACGGAGGGGUGCCUUCGGGAGCCGUAACACAGGUGCUGCAUGGCUGUCGUCAGCUCGUGUCGUGAGAUGUUGGGUUAAGUCCCGCAACGAGCGCAACCCUUGUCAUUAGUUGCCAUCAUUAAGUUGGGCACUCUAAUGAGACUGCCGGUGACAAGCCGGAGGAAGGUGGGGAUGACGUCAAGUCCUCAUGGCCCUUAUGACCAGGGCUUCACACGUCAUACAAUGGUCGGUACAGAGGUUAGCCAAGCCGCGAGGUGGAGCCAAUCUCACAAAACCGAUCGUAGUCCGGAUUGCACUCUGCAACUCGAGUGCAUAAAGUCGGAAUCGCUAGUAAUCGCAGGUCAGCAUACUGCGGUGAAUACGUUCCCGGGUCUUGUACAC